AGAUUUGAAGAAUAAUGAGAUCAUUUCCCUGCUGGACUAUCAGUUCAUUGCCUAUGAGCAACUGGAGUUACUCUUCCUACAAGAUAACAGGAUCCAGUCAAUAUCCGCCUCUGCAUUUGCUGGACUUGUCAAGCUCAAGAAGCUGUAUCUCAGUUCCAACAACAUCACUCACCUGAAGCCUCGCAUCUUCCACAACUUGUUUUGUCUCAAAUGGCU